rnacentral:pre_miRNA from 1 species
CAGCUAUUUCCUCCGUUCCGAAUUACUUGUCGCGGGUAUGGAUGUAUCUAGAUAUAUUUUAGUUUUGAAUACAUCCAUUUCUACGAUAAGUAAUUUGGAACGGAGGAAGUAGUAC